rnacentral:rRNA from 1 species
CACGUAGUUAGCCGGCGCUUCUUUACCCACUACCCUCACCACAACCCACAGUUGCGGCUUGACCAUGAGCGAAAGAGGUUCACAACCCGAAGGCCUCCAUCCCUCACGCGGCGUCGCUGCAUCAGGCUUGCGCCCAUUGUGCAAUAUUCCCCACUGCUGCCUCCCGUAGGAGUCUGGGCCGUAUCUCAGUCCCAAUGUGACCGGUCACCCUCUCAGGCCGGCUACCCGUCAAAGCCUUGGUAGGCCAUCACCCCACCAACAAGCUGAUAGGCCGCGAGCCCAUCCCCCACCAGAAAAACCCUUUCCACCAACCCCCAUCGCGAAGACCAGUGAAUAUCCAGUAUUAGCACCCAUUUCCGGGCGUUAUCCCAAGAAGAGGGCAGGUUACUCACGUGUUACUCACCCGUUCGCCACUCACUCCACCAGCAACGCUAGGCUUCAGCGUUCGACUUCGUAUGUGUUAAGCACGCCGCCAGCGUUCGUCCUCGUAGCCG